rnacentral:rRNA from 1 species
CAGUCGCCGCGGGAACACAGAGGGUGCGAGCGUUAAUCGGAUUUACUGGGCGUAAAGCGUGCGUAGGCGGCUUCUUAAGUCGGAUGUGAAAUCCCUGAGCUUAACUUAGGAAUUGCAUUCGAUACUGGGAAGCUAGAGUAUGGGAGAGGAUGGUAGAAUUCCAGGUGUAGCGGUGAAAUGCGUAGAGAUCUGGAGGGAUACCGAUGGCGAAGGCAGCCAUCUGGCCUAAUACUGACGCUGAGGUACGAAAGCAUGGGGAGCAAACAGGAUUAGAUACCCCUGUAGUCCCUGUCUCUUAUAC